rnacentral:rRNA from 1 species
UACAGAGGAGCCAAGCGUUGUCCGGAUUGACUGGGCGUAAAGCGCACGCAGGCGGGGGUGCGCGUGGGGUGUGAAAGUCUGGCCGCUUAACGGCCAGGCGCCAUCCCAUACGGCACGCCUGGAGCCUUGCAGAGGUCGGUGGAAUUGCCGGUGUAGUGGUGAAAUGCGUAGAGAUCGGCAGGAACACCCAGGGGGAAACCAGCCGACUGGGCAAGUGCUGACGCUGAGGUGCGAGAGCGUGGGGAGCGAACCGG